rnacentral:sRNA from 1 species
GGAUGUGGGGGAAAACAAGAUGAAAGUUUAGGCACUAAUGUUUGUUUUCACUUCUACUCAACACAAUUUAGUGUUGGUUUAUAUUAAAUGCAAAGAUAAGCUAGAGUUUGUGUAGCAUCGGGCUAACAAUCGGUUCCCUUUUCUUCCAGUGCUGAAAGGUGGUCCUUUCUCUGACAGCUACAGGCUCUUUCAGUUCCAUUUUCACUGGGGCAGUACAAAUGAGCAUGGUUCAGAACAUACAGUGGAUGGAGUCAAAUAUUCUGCCGAGCUUCACAUAGCUCACUGGAAUUCUGCAAAGUACUCCAACCUUGCUGAAGCUGCCUCAAAGGCUGAUGGUUUGGCAGUUAUUGGUGUUUUGAUGAAGGUUGGUGAGGCCAACCCAAAGCUGCAGAAAGUACUUGAUGCCCUCCAAGCAAUUAAAACCAAGGGCAAACGAGCCCCAUUCACAAAUUUUGACCCCUCUACUCUCCUUCCUUCAUCCCUGGAUUUCUGGACCUACCCUGGCUCUCUGACUCAUCCUCCUCUUUAUGAGAGUGUAACUUGGAUCAUCUGUAAGGAGAGCAUCAGUGUCAGC